rnacentral:tRNA from 1 species
GGCAGGGAUAUAGCUCAGUUGGUAGAGUGCUUGCCUUCCAUGCACAAGGCCCUGGGUUCAAAACCCAGUACUGCCA